UACGGGGGGAGCAAGCGUUGUUCGGAUUUACUGGGCGUAAAGGGCGCGUAGGCGGUCGUGACAAGUCACUUGUGAAAUCUCCGGGCUUAACUCGGAACGGUCAAGUGAUACUGUCGGACUAGAGUACAGAAGGGGCAACUGGAAUUCUCGGUGUAGCGGUGAAAUGCGUAAAUAUCGAGAGGAACACCUGCGGCGAAGGCGGGUUGCUGGGCUGAUACUGACGCUGAGGCGCGAAAGCCAGGGGAGCGAACGGG
rnacentral:rRNA from 1 species